rnacentral:rRNA from 1 species
AUGGAUGAGCCAGUCAUCUUCCAUCUCAACUUUGUCAAAAUCCUUGAGGUUGUAACUAAGCACUUCGAGUUAGACCCACCGGUGAUCUCUGCGGUUGAGCGUACUGACGGUGUAGGGUACCAAGGCGUGGUGCAUGUGCAGGUCACUCAAGAUGAUGAGAACUCUUACAAAGUAAUUUAUGGGUAUGGUGAAGAUGAUGCAGAUGCAAGAAAUAUUGCGGCACGUGAGGCGCUGAAGUUUCUUCAUCAUUUUCUGAACUUUUCCUUGGUUGAUCUGCACAUGUAUGAGUACUGUGAGGUGGUACUAUCACUGAUAGAAGACAGGGAUCAUUGGCUCGAGCUGGGGGAGCACAAGAACAAGAAACUGAAGCAAGAGCGUGAUAUGCUGGAGGAGAUGACAAACAAGCAAGAGAGU